CUUCGCAUCUCGCACUUGUUGGACAUUGGAGAGCGUUCUCGUAUCAUCGAUGGAGAUAUCGCGAUUACUGGACGCCUCACCAUCGGACUGGCGUCGCCCCGAUACAAUUAGAUAAAACAACUCGAGGACCCGUCUGGGAUAGGCCGAGGUCUUGAAGUGGGUUGCUGCGAAAUCAAGCAGUGGUUGGAUCAUAGAGUCCACGAUACUGAACACGAGCGCCUGCUUGUUGGCGCGAUAGCCCCUGAAGAGCAAUGACACGAUCGGAUCGGUAAAGAAGUUGAGAUACGUGUAGCCCAGCACGACAAUUGCCGACGCGACGAACGGGUGCAGCGCGAUCCACGCGACGUACAGGCAGCCACGCAAUCUGCAAAGCAUCGAGACCUUGAACGAAGGCCGCAUUUCGUUGCUCCGUUAAAAGCAAUAUUUAUCCAAAGAAGAUAAACUCUCGAUACCGUUCGACUCACCUGGAUUUGAUGGACUCGUGACGAGGUGUUAUUAGUAGGACAACCG